UAUACAGCAGGUACUUGAAGUUGGCGUUGGUACAGAUGAUGUGUGUCUGUGUGUGUAUACAGCAGGUACUUGAUGUUGGUACAGAUGGUGUGUGUCUGUGUGUGUAUACAGCAGGUACUUGAAGUUGGCGUUGGUACAGAUGAUGUGUGUCUGUGUGUGUAUACAGCAGGUACUUGAUGUUGGUACAGAUGGUGUGUGUCUGUGUGUGUAUACAGCAGGU